CGUAUGUGCAGCUGCAAUAAUAUUCCCAAAUCCUGAAAUACUCCUGAGACGUAAACAAGUAAAUAGCUACAGUCCUCAAGGAACUUACUUUUUCAAGGUAUUUUGUUGGACAGUGACACUCAAGAUGGCUACAAGGCAAGCAUCAGUUGAAAAGAAAAGGGCAUCAGCGAAAGACAGGCUGGCAAAGCACAGGGAAAAAAUAUACAGCAAUCCAGUGUUACUUGAGGAGUACAGAAGAAAAGAGAGAGAGAGGUUAGGGGACAGGGUGAUAAUAUGGAAAUAAUAUAGCUUGGAUUCCUUGUUUUGACCAACACUUGCACUCACACACAGACACGCACACAGAAACACAAGUACAUGUGCGUAGAUGCAUACAUACACGCAAACGUGAAGACUGACAUAAUAGUAUAUAUUGUACAUACACACACUCUCUUUCACACACAUCACACGAAGACAUGCAUGCCUAUGUGUGUGCACGUACACACACACACACAAUUCCUAAAUGAACAAUUGUGUGCAAUUUUGAUCAUAGUCCAAAGUUUGUAUUUAUGCCAGUGCUUACUGGACUGCAUUUCACCUUUCAUUCAUUUUUCCUUUUCCAGGUAUCGGAAACGUAAGGAAAACUGUAAAAUUAAGACUACUCAGGACCUCACAAGUAGACAGCUUGAGAGAAAAAAAAUUAAAUGGAGGAAAAAUUCAGCAAAAUAUUACAGGAAAAGAAAGCAAGAGCAAGCACUUCUAGAUCUAACCCCAGCAUCUUCAUUAAGUGAGGCAGAACAUUCCUUUUCAAAUGAAGAAACUAACAGAGAGGAACCGGACACAAAUAAUGAAAAUCUGAACAGAACACCAGCAGAAGAAAGUUUAGACCUGACAGGGUCAAUGGAGGCAUCCACCCCCCAGAGUACAGGUACAAAGCACUCGUUCCAGUGGUUUGUUUUAGUUGUUUUACCAACUCAUAACUUAAGUUGCUGCUAUUCAAGUUCAUCACAUGAAAUUAUUCUCAGAAAAAAGUUGGUUGAAUGUCAGGACCAACGUUUUUUUUUAGCUAAACUGAACAAAUUCUACAAGAGC
ensembl:lncRNA